GUCGAGGAUUUUUCUCAAUGGGCGAAAGCCUGAAGGAGCGACGCCGCGUGGGGGAUGAAGGUCUUCGGAUUGUAAACCCCUGUCACUUGGGAACAAAUUGGAUGACCCAACACGUCAUCCAUUGAUAGUACCAGGAGAGGAAGCAGUGGCUAACUCUGUGCCAGCAGCCGCGGUAAUACAGAGACUGCAAGCGUUGUUCGGAUUCAUUGGGCGUAAAGGGUGCGUAGGCGGUGAGGUAAGUUGGAUGUGAAAUCUCAGGGCUUAACCCUGAAAGUGCAUCCAAAACUACCUUGCUCGAGGACUGGAAGGGAGACUGGAAUUCUCGGUGUAGCGGUGAAAUGCGUAGAUAUCGAGAGGAACACCGGUGGCGAAGGCGGGUCUCUGGACAGUUCCUGACGCUGAGGCACGAAAGCCAGGGUAGCAAACGGGAUUAGAUACCCGGGUAGUCC
rnacentral:rRNA from 1 species